rnacentral:rRNA from 1 species
AACGUGGAGACAGGUGGUGCAUGGCUGUCGUCAGCUCGUGUCGUGAGAUGUUGGGUUAAGUCCCGCAACGAGCGCAACCCUCACCCUUUGUUGCCAUCAGGUCAUGCUGGGCACUCUAGGGGAACUGCCUCGGUUAACGAGGAGGAAGGUGGGGAUGACGUCAAGUCAUCAUGCCCCUUACGCUCUGGGCUACACACGUGCUACAAUGGCCAAUACAAAGGGCUGCAAACCCGCGAGGGCAAGCCAAUCCCAAAAAAUUGGUCUCAGUUCAGAUUGUAGGCUGCAACCCGCCUGCAUGAAGGAGGAAUCGCUAGUAAUCGUGGAUCAGCAUGCCACGGUGAAUACGUUCCCGGGCCUUGUACACACCGCCCGUCACACCACGAAAGUCUGCUGUACUCGAAGUCGCUGAG